UGGGGAAUAUUGGACAAUGGGGGGAACCCUGAUCCAGCCAUGCCGCGUGUGUGAAGAAGGCCUUAUGGUUGUAAAGCACUUUAAGCGAGGAGGAGGGUACUGGUAUUAAUACUACCAGGUACUGGACGUUACUCGCAGAAUAAGCACCGGCUAACUCUGUGCCAGCAGCCGCGGUAAUACAGAGGGUGCAAGCGUUAAUCGGAAUUACUGGGCGUAAAGCGCGCGUAGGUGGUUCGUUAAGUUGAAUGUGAAAGCCCCGGGCUCAACCUGGGAACUGCAUCCAAAACUGGCGGGCUAGAGUAGGGCAGAGGGUGGUGGAAUUUCCUGUGUAGCGGUGAAAUGCGUAGAUAUAGGAAGGAACACCAGUGGCGAAGGCGACCACCUGGGCUCAUACUGACGCUGAGGUACGAAAGCAUGGGGAGCAAACAGG
rnacentral:rRNA from 1 species